GAGAUCGUGGUGAAAUGGCAUCAUAGCAGGUUGUGGCCCUGUUGUUGGGGGUUCAAAUCCCCCCGAUCUCCCA
rnacentral:tRNA from 1 species